rnacentral:rRNA from 1 species
GCCUGUUUAUCAAAAACAUGGCCUUUUGUGAAUAAUUUAAGGUCUGGCCUGCCCAAUGAUUUGGUUAAAUGGCCGCGGUACUCUGACCGUGCAAAGGUAGCAUAAUCAUUAGUUUUUUAAUUGAAAGCUGGUAUGAACGGUCGGACAAGAAAAUUACUGUCUCAAUUUAAUGGUUUUAGAAUUUUAUUUUUUAGUCAGAAGGCUAAAAUGGUCUUAAGGGACGAGAAGACCCUAUAGAAUUUUAUAAAUUUUAUUGGGUUGGGUUUUUAGAUUUAUUAAUUAGACUUGGUAAAAUUUAUUUUGUUGGGGUGAUGGAAAAAUUUAAGAAACUUUUUUUGUAAAAAAAUCAUUAAUUUAUGAUUGGGUGAUCCGUUUAUAGCGAUUACAAGAUUAAAUUACCUUAGGGAUAACAGCGUUAUUAGUCUGGGGAGUUCUUAUCGAUAGACUAGUUUGCGACCUCGAUGUUGGAUUAAAAUAAACUUUUGGUGUAGGGGCUGGAAAGUUAAGUCUGUUCGACUUUUAAAAUUUUACAUGAUCUGAGUUCAGACCGG